GACGAACGCUGGCGGCGUGCUUAAUACAUGCAAGUCGAACGGAAAGGCCCCUUUGGGGGUACUCUAGUGGCGAACGGGUGAGUAACACGUGAGUAACCUGCCCUUGACUUCGGGAUAACUUCAGGAAACUGGGGCUGAUACCGGAUAGGAAUCCUUGCUGCAUGGUGGGGGUUGAAAAGUUUCGGGGGUUUUGGAUGGCUCUGCGGCUUAGCUGCUUGUUGGUGGGGUGAGGUGUUACCAUGGCUUGGACGGGAAGCCGCCCGGAGUGGGCGACCGGCCACAUUGGGACUGAGAGACGGCCCAGACUCCUACGGGAGGCAGAAGUGGGGAAUAUUGCACAAUGGGCGGAAGCCUGAUGCAGCAACGCCGCGUGCGGGAUGACGGCCUUCGGGUUGUAAACCGCUUUCAGCAGGGGCGAAGCUUGUGGUGACGGUACCUGCAGAAGAAGCACCGGCUAACUACGUG
rnacentral:rRNA from 1 species